GAUUAUGGCUCAGGAUUAACGCUGGCGGCGUGCCUAACACAUGCAAGUCGAACGAAAUAUCUUCGGAUAUUUAGUGGCGAACGGGUGAGUAAUGUACAGGUAAUGUACCUUCGUACUGUGAAUAACAAGCUGAAAAGUUUGCUAAUACGGAAUAGUUUCCUUCGGGGGCAUCCUUAAAGGAAUAAAGAUUUAUCGUGCGGAGAUCAGCCUGUAUCCUAUUAGUUAGUUGGUGGGGUAAUGGCCUACCGAGACGACGAUGGGUAACUGGUCUGAGAGGAUGAGCAGUCACAUUGGAACUGAGAAACGGUCCAAACUCCUACGGGAGGCAGCAGUGAGGAAUUUUGCGCAAUGGGGGAAACCCUGACGCAAGCAAGGCCGCGUGAGUGAAGACGGCCUUCGGGUUGUAAAGCUCUGUCGUGUGUGACGAGUAGGGACGGUAACACACAAGGAAGCCUCGGCUAACUACGUGCCAGCCGCAGC
rnacentral:rRNA from 1 species